UACGUAGGCAGCGAGCGUUGUUCGGAGUUACUGGGCGUAAAGGGUGUGUAGGCGGCUUUCUAAGUUUGGUGUGAAAUCUCCCGGCUCAACCGGGAGGGUGCGCCGAAAACUGGGAGGCUAGAGUGUGGGAUGGGAGAGUAGAAUUCCUGGUGUAGCGGUGAAAUGCGUAGAUAUCAGGAGGAAUACCGGUGGUGUAGACGGCUCUCUGGACCACAACUGACGCUGAAACACGAAAGCGUGGGUAGCAAACAGG
rnacentral:rRNA from 1 species